AUGGGGCCAUUUUGGGGUCAUUUGGGGGCCAUUUUGAGGUCAUUUGGGGGCCAUUUGGGGGCCAUUUUGAGGUCAUUUUGGGAUGGUGCCAUUUUGGGGCCAUUUUGGGAUCAUUUUGAGGUCAUUUUGGGGUCAUUGUGGGGUGUUUUGGGGUCAUUUGGGAGCCAUUUUGGGAUGGUGCCAUGGGGCCAUUUCACCUCCCAUUUUGGGGCCAUUUUGGGGUGUUUUGGGGCCAUUUUGGGGUCAUUUUGUGCCAUUUUGGAGCCAUUUGGGGCCAUUUUGGGGUGUUCUGGGGCCAUUUUGGGGUGUUUUGGGGCCAUUUUGGGGCGGUUUUGGGGCCGUUUUGGGGUUUUGUGCCAUUUGGAGCCCUUUGGGGUCAUUUUGGGGUGGUUUGGGGCCAUUUUGGGGUCGGCUGGUGCCGUUUUGGGGUCUCACCUGCUUGUUGUAGUGCUCAGAAUCCUCCAAACCCCAUUUCUCAAAUCCCACCUCCCAUUUUGGGGCCAUUUUGGAGCCAUUUGGGGCCAUUUGGGGCCAUUUUGGGGUCAUUUUGUGCCCUUUUGGGGUGUUUUGGGGCCAUUUUGGGGCGGUUUUGGGGCCGUUUUGGGGUCUCACCUGCUUGUUGUAGUGCUCAGAAUCCUCAAAACCCCAAUUAUUGAAAUCCCACCUCCCAUUUUGGGGCCAUUUUGGGGUGUUUUGGGGCCAUUUUGGGGUGUUUUGGGGCCAUUUUGGGGCGGUUUUGGGGCCGUUUUGGGGUCUCACCUGCUUGUUGUAGUGCAUGAUGCCCAGGGUGGGGAAGACCCAGGUGCUGGCCGGUGGCACGAUGUCGCUGUCAGCAAAGUUCACCCACUGCAGGACCUGCGCCGCCCGCUCCCUGGUGGCCCCGCGCAGCUCCUCGUUGCUCACUGCACCAAAAACGGCCCCAAUUGCAUUAAUUAGGCGCUUAAUUAACCCACGACAUGCAAACACAC
rnacentral:lncRNA from 1 species